rnacentral:lncRNA from 1 species
AUGAACUGAUAGGAAUUCCCUUGAUUAAGCAAUAUUGCCUAGAGAUAGGGGUAAGACGAUCAAUUUUAUUUGCUUCUGUGAUAUAUUGUACUGCUAAUUACUUAGGGAGACUAGAGAUGGUAAACUAGUAAUUAGUGGUAGGCUCUUUUCGCUGAGAGAUCGGGUAUAGAGUAGGCUAAGAAAGUUUGCAUGACAAUUUGAUAAUAAAGCGAAUUUAUUAAGAAAAGUAGACAUAAGAGAGUGGAUAAGGAUGAAAUUGUAAACCCCAACAACUCCAUUAAAUCAUAUCUUUUCUUUGCCAAUUGAUUCACUUGCAUUUGCAUG